ACUCCUACGGGAGGCAGCAGUGGGGAAUAUUGCACAAUGGGGGAAACCCUGAUGCAGCCAUGCCGCGUGUGUGAAGAAGGCCUUGGGUUGUAAAGCACUUUCAGUAGGGAGGAAGGUAGUGUAGUUAACACCUGCAUUAUUUGUACGUUACCUACAGAAGAAGCACCGGCUAACUCCGUGCCAGCAGCCGCGGUAAUACGGAGGGUGCGAGCGUUAAUCGGAAUUACUGGGCGUAAAGCGCAUGCAGGCGGCCUGUUAAGUCAGAUGUGAAAGCCCGGGGCUUAACCUCGGAAUUGCAUUUGAAACUGGCAGGCUAGAGUCUUGUAGAGGGGUUAGGAAUUUCAGGUGUAGCGGUGAAAUGCGUAGAGAUCUGAAGG
rnacentral:rRNA from 1 species